GCGCCCUCACCCCCCCACCCCCCCCCCCCCCCACCCACCCCACCCCCCCGCCCCCCCGGACGCCGGGACACCCCCCCACUCCCCUCCCCUCCAGCAACGCGCGGCGCUCCCAUCCCCCGGCAGCCCACCAGGUGGCGCUCGCUCCCACCCGGCCGCCGCGCCGACGCCCGUGACGUCAGCCGCCCGGCUCCAUUUGAGCGCCUCUCGGCAGCCGAGAACUCGGACUUCCCGUGUGGCUCACAACAUAACUACUCGGCGUUGCUUCUACAGUGGCUGUGGCUCGACCCCUAGCCUGGGAACCUCCAUAUGCCGCAGCCCCGCGGCGGCAGAUGGCACUCGUUCUGCCGCUUUUUCCUGGCUGUGUGCGAUGCCAUCGCAUAGAUGUCCCCGGGUCUGCGAAGUGCACUCACCUGUCAGUGGACCUUUAGGUGGCUUCCAGAUCUUGGCUCUGGUGAGUAGUGAGGCGACAGACAGAGGGUGCCCGGGUCUGCUUCCGGGAAAGUUUGGUCCCGGGAAAUGGAGCUGUUGGAGGCCGGCUUCGGUCUUUGUGUGGGCCG
rnacentral:lncRNA from 1 species